rnacentral:pre_miRNA from 1 species
AGCCUUCUGUAUCCGUGCUGAGAUUUCGUCGGCGAUCAAUCCGUUUGGCUGGCUGAUGCAACUUCGCAAAUAAGUGGAGCG